rnacentral:lncRNA from 1 species
CUUCUUUCUCUUUUUUCUCUCUCUCUCUCUCUCUCUCUCUCUCUCUCUCUCUCUCUCUCUCUCUCUCUCUCCCUUUCUGUCUUUUCUUCUCUUCCUUUUUUUUUUUCCUUUCUUCUCUUCUUCUUCUUCUUCUUCUUUCUUUUCCUUUUCUUCUUCUUCUUCUUCCUGCGAUGUUUCCCCUUCCGCUGCGGCCCACCUUCGCGACUGCUGCUCACUCCUCCUAACGCGGCCAAGGCUCCUCCCCUCACUCUACUCUCUCGGCCCCGAUAUCGUUUGGCCCUCUCUCUUCUCAAAAUAUUUUUUCUUCUUUCUCACUUUUUUUUUGCUAUUUUCUUACAUAUAUAUAUAAAUUUAUCGCUUAAGUCUUCCACAUCAUUUUUCUUUUUUUUUUUCCUUUAUAAAUAAUUACAUAUAUAAUUUCUUUUUAUUUUUUUGUUUAUCUUGUUUUUUCAUUAUAAUUAAUUUAUUUAUAUUAUUAUUUUUUUCUACCCUGCUGUAUAUUACACAUAUAGUGAGCAUGUUUAAUAAUAAUGCUUUCUUCGAAAUUAUGAAACAGCUUUGGAAAUCGAAAGGGUUCAUAUAGGUACAUCUUUGGUGUAAGGGGCAAUAUCUGUUUUAAUUUGAAAAUUCUAAGGAUGUCUAACGUGUAAAGAAUGGUGUGUCGUAGCACUUCGGCAGACCUAUUAUUUGCUUUUAACAUUGUUCACUAUAAAUGAGCACCCAAGUUAUUAUCACACUAAUCUAUAUGACCUGCCUCCAAAGUUCGAUGUCCGAGGAGGUUGGUUGAUGUUGGGGGUGCAAAAAUGGAAGUUGCAUUUUUGUGGAUCUUGUGAUAAGUCUCCCAAGGAUAAAAGUAGGUAGUGAUUCAAUAGUGCCAUCCAAUAGACCUUUUAAUCUGUACAUUAGGUGAUAACCUCCAUAACAAUAUUGCAUAGACUACUACCUAUAUAAUUUGAAAUUCUUGCUAGUUUCUUAAUCUUGAAAAUAAGGAUGAUAAAAGUACAGUUUAUUUAAACUAAGAAAGUAUGAUUGUUCCCAAAAUUGAAGACCUUAUGUUUCACUAUAUGCCAACAAUUUUGAGAAAAGAUAAUAGAUAAACCAUCCAGAUCUAGAGCUUUUGUUGGAUGUAUCCGUUGUAGUACAAAAAAACACCUCUGCCUCAAUGCCUGUUCCAGUAAUUAAACAUUCAUAUUAGAUGUAACUUUCCUUUUCACAUAAUCUGUAUCUCUUACAAAAGUUUUCUCAGAAUUGGGUGGUAAAAAUGAUUGUUUAAUCUUAUUACAUUUAUCCUCAAUUCCCCUGUACAGCUCUUUAUUCUCUAUUGUACUUCUCUUAUGCCUCUUCGUAGUUUUUGCAUGGAGAAAGCUCUUUUUUAAUUCAAUUUAUAGAACUUCUUUUGUUUUCUGCUUCACCUUUUAUCCCAGUUGAUAUAGCACCUCGUUGCAGUAUGUCAUUUGCCUUUGAAGUUCUAUUACACCUAGUAGCAACUUCCUCCAUGCUUCCCCCACUGGUGAGAGGAUUACACCGUGCUUCCUCAACGACAGCUUUACAAUGAGGUUCCUGCAAUCGUACCUCUUCUAGUUUAAAAAAUUUUAUUUUGUCUCCUUAUAAUUAAAUUAUCUUCAUGGGAUAAGUUCGUAGGAGUGUACUUAGAUAAGGUUCUAACUAUGCUUAGGACCUAUGCAAUUAGGAAGAAAAUUCCAAUCCUGAUUAACCAUAAACUGAUCUAGCAUUUCAUGUUAUUUUUUCUACGUGCUAAAAGGCUCGUUGGAAAUGGGCUGUGUGCAACUCAUAUUCUGUCAAGCUACUUCCAUAUAAGAACCAAAACGCACUGUUUCAUUAAAUGGUGCGUUUUGGCUACUGCUACACCAAAAAAGGAGGUAUAGGUACCUCUUCUUCCUCUACAUAGAAAACCCAAAAUUGGGUUUCCUUCUUCUCCAGACUUCUUCCUCUCACGCAAACACCAAAAGCUCUAGUUUUCGGCAUUUUCUUUUUCUUCCAUUUGUUUUGCAGAUAUUCAACUUUGGACAUUAAGGCACAACAAUAAGUAUUUUCUUUAAUGGAGUAAAGGUACUAUACAUUGAUUUUCUCAUACUUUACCGAAGUAAUGUAUUGUUGUUAGAAAACGUAGGAUUUGGUGUGUAUUGAGGAAGAAGAAGUUCAUUUUGUAACACUACGACCUCUUCUGUUCAUCCAUGUAAACUUAUGCCCACAUAAACUUAAAUCAAACAACUAUAUUGAACUAAUGUAUUCUAUAUUCUCGAGUAAGCCCCAUCUUCCUCUCGUUCUCCUAUUUUUUCAUGCACAAAGAAGACCUCAUUCCAGUUCCUACCCAUAAGCUAUAGUUUAUCUGUUACGAAUAUAAAUCCACUAUUGAUUCCCUUAUUUUAGGUGCCCCUCCCACCGUCUAUAGAGUCCAAUAACCCAUACCAAUAGCAAUAAGACAACACCCCCUAAACAUUCAGAGCAGAUCAUAAGCGAUAAUAAAAUUAGAAAAAAAAAAAAAAAAAAAGGUUAUUAAACGUGAAACUAACAAUUCUAUAAAGAGAAAUUUAGAAAAAAUGAUGAGAUUGAUUUUUAUUAUAUUUUUAUAAUAUUUUUACUUAAAUUUAGAAGAACUUUUGAAUGAAUUUUGAGUGAAAAAUUAAUUUAUGAAUUAAAUUUUUUAUGCAGGUUGUUAUUUUAAAGAAGAAAGAAAAAAAAAAGUUGAAAAGAAAAGAAGAAAAGAAGAAGAAGCCAAAAGUUUAAACCAUUGAAGUCCAAGCCCAUAUCUGUUCAACCCAUUCCCAGACCUCCAAAACGUCGCUGUUUUAAAGGAAAAAAAAAAUUGCAGAAAGCAGAAGAGGAAACGAAAGAAGCAGCUGAAAAGAAAAAUAAAACAAAACAAAAAAAGAAGAAACAGCUAAAAAGAAAAUCAAAGAGGAUCUCAUCUCUUGCAGUCGCCUAUUAAAAGGAGAAAAGAGAAAACAAGAAAAGGGGCAGAGAGAGAGAGAGAGAGAGAGAGAGAGAGAGAGAGAGAGAGCAGAACCCGAAGCUAGCAGCUGACAAAGAAACCGGAGAGCAGAAAUGAAACAGUGCGCUGAGUGGAGAAGCAGAUUCGAAGCCAUAAGUGUGAUUGCAGAGCAGAAACUUGGAGAAGCACAAACGGAGAGAAGAUGAGAAAAAUUAGUCAAGUAAUAUUUAUUUAAUUUUCAAAUUAACAAAUUUUAGUGGAAACUUUUAAGAAUUUUUUUUGACACUCCAAUACUCGUAUUUAGAAUUGUUGGGAAUUUAAUUUUUUCUUUUUUGUUACGGUAAUUAAAAUAAAAUUUGUAGUUGAAUUUACAAACUCAUAAUUUU